UUCAGACUGAUCCAUGUGGAAUUCAAGCAGCCUAAGUUUACUGUUUCUUUGCCUGGACUGGAACUACAAAUACAGUAAAUGCUGCAACAUCAAUAAAUUAAGAAAGAAGUUGUCAAUCAAGUGAUAUAAAAUCUCAAAAUGACAUACAGAGAAUUACUAAAUGUCUUCGACAAAAACUCUUCCUCUAAAUGUCAUCAAUGCAGUAGUAAUAUUUUGUUCUCACUCAUACUAUUUACUGGAAUCUCUCAAAUUGGUUUGAGUAUUGGCCUUUUAUUUCUGUGUAGAAAUCAAAUAAGUGAGGUAUCUUGUGCUUUCUCACUAAAAGCUCACCUUGUACAGGUUUAGCCGCCCCUGUCUAUAUUGGAUGUCUUAUUCUCUGCAUAGCAAUCUUUGGAUUUGCCUGUCUUGGUCGGCGAGCAUCAGCAGCACUACUUUUAUUCAUUACUGUUGGUGACAUUUGCCUGGGUUUUAUGCAAUUAGCAAGUGAGAAAAUUCUGUUCACUGACUAUUUUAAUACAUUUAAUUCAAGAGAAAUCUGUCAAUCUGCCCAACAAAAUUCAUCUCAACUUUUACAAUGCUGGAACCAUAUUACACACCUAUACCCAGCCUGUAGUAUAUAUGAACAUGAGAUAACCAAUGAUUGUGUUCACAGCUAUAAUAUUUACUUCAAUCGAUCAAUCAAUCUGAAAGUAACAGAACUACUGUGCCAUGCAUUAGUGAUAUUAAUAGAUUGGUCAGUUCAACUUAUACGGACUUCCGAUUUAUGUGUGGCCCUAUUGUAUUACUCAAUGCUUUUGUCUGUGUCAUUCUAAUACUAUUUCUAGAGUUUUUUCAUCAACAGAAACAGAAUAGUAAAAAACAGCAACAUGACUUAGCAGCACUAGAAGGAAUUUAUGAAAUUUCUGAACAAAAGUAAUAAAAAUAUUUAUUCAAUGUCAAUAAUUUAUCCUCAUAAUCGUACUUCGGUUCACAUUCUAUUUUACUAAAAAAAGUCAACUUUUGGUGAUCAUUCUAAAUUGAAUUAAAAGUAUUUUCUAAUACUAAUAACAUUGAAUUUUCGGCCCUGUUUUUAGAAUGACAUUAACUAAAGAUAUAAAGUGUCAAACAGACCAUAUGUAUUAUAUAUUUAUAUAUAUAUUUAUUUAAAUACUGAGUGUAUUUUAUUUAAUCUAAAUAAGAACUAAAUGAAAGGACCAUUUUAUGAUAUAAUGGCAAGUCGUAGGAAGAAUAUUCAGGAGUUAGAGAAGGCAUUUCAUUAUCCCUUUUUAUAGCAACACACAAGGUUGCCUUGCUGCCAUAAUUUUAUAAGAAAUCUCAACUUCAAAAUGAUAAAAUUAGUUAUUUUACUAAAUCCUUACAAAUUCUAGAUUAUUUCAAAAUUAAUUGAAGCAUGUUGGUAGUGUUUUGUUAGGAACAUGAUUAUAAAAGGAUUAAAUUUAAUGAUUAGACCAACCAAAGCCAGAAUGGAAAAUGGAUAUAUCUUGCAAAAAAAAAAAAAAAAUCAACAUAAUAGUUGUGUGAGUUAUGUGUGUAUAAAUAUGCCAUGAUAAAAAUAUAUAACAACUACUUACUUUUAACAAUUAUCUUUGAAAUUUUUCAUAUUAUAUAUAUUUUAAAUGUGCUGGUAAAACUGUGCAAAAACUCCCACAAUGACCCCAUUUUGAGUGCUCCUUAUACAACAAGGAUUGUUGAAAUCCACAUUUAAACCUUUCACAGUUGCUUCUUUUGCAAAUGUAUUCCAGGUGCUAAUCUUGUGUAGUACAGUUUAACAUCACAUUUCACCUAAACAUUGAAGCCUACAGUCAUUGUAAGGAUGUUGGUCUACUCUCACCUUUUGCUACCUGCUAGUCUAUUGGAAAUAGGAUUGCUAUUUGAAUUGAGAGAAAGUUCCUACUAUUUUUUUUUACAUCUAAUAUCUAAUUUCAAUGAAGAUUUUUUUAAGAUACAUUGUCAGCUAUUUGUAGAUAUUUUUACUAAUGUAAUAUGAUAUGAGAUUGACAAUAGUCACAUGGUCAAGUAAAAUCAUAUAUUGGUUAAUUGUGUUAAAUUUCUUAUCAAAGUGAUCAAUAUUGGGUGUAGCUGUUGUACUCCUUUAUCCUAAGUUAAGUAACUUGUAAUAUUGUGUAAUGGAUUGGUUAUAUAUGUAUGAUAUGCACCUCUAGAAUAACAUUACUUGAUAGGGUGCAAAGCUCAGAGAUCAGGGAAUCUCUCUAGGUUGAGCUAAUCCACAUUGGGAGGUCACAGCUCUGAUACUAUGGACAUGUGAUAAGAAUGUCUUUAAAAAGAAUCACAAGGUGAAUUCUUCAAGCUGAACUAACCAGCAGGAAACCUAGGGGUAGAUUUAGAAUGAGAUGGUUGAAUAAUAUCCUAAGACUCAGUUGGUUGCACUUGGGAAUCCAAAGGGAAAGUCUAAUGAUGGCUGCUUCUUAUGGAGGAGAUGCCUGAAGAUUCUACUCCAACAAACCUCCCAGAAAUAGUGGGCAGAAAAGAUGGAUGGAUGGAUGGAGAUGCACCUAAGACUGGUGCAGUGUACAUUUUGUUUAACUUCCUUAUUUAGUCACAUUCUUGUAUACCACUUAUGAAAUGAUCAGAGAAAAUGUGAUGCCAAACUACAUUAAGAAUGUCCAACAGCCAGUAUGCAUAUGGAAAAAAGGAACAAUAGAAAGAACUUAGUAUCAAUUCUUAAAAUUAAGUCUUGAUAAGCAUUGAAGAACACUCAUAAUAUAGAUCUCUCAAUGCUAAAUUAAAAGACACUUACAUCUAUAAAUUUGAAAAGUUU